CAGUCGCCACGGUAAUACGUAGGUGGCGAGCGUUGUCCGGAAUUAUUGGGCGUAAAGGGAGCGCAGGCGGACAUAUAAGUCCAUCUUAAAAGUGCGGGGCUCAACCCCGUGAGGGGAUGGAAACAGUAUGCCUUGAGUGCAGGAGAGGAAAGCGGAAUUCCCAGUGUAGCGGUGAAAUGCGUAGAUAUUGGGAGGAACACCAGUGGCGAAGGCGGCUUUCUGGUUUGUAACUGACGCUGAGGCUCGAAAGCGUGGGGCGCAAACAGGAUUAGAUACCCCAGUAGUCCCUGUCUCUUAUACA
rnacentral:rRNA from 1 species